UGAGUAUAUCUGGGGAUCUACCCAGAAGAGGGGGAUAACUACUAGAAAUGGUAGCUAAUACCGCAUAAUGUUGCAAAACUAAAGUGGGGGACCUUUUGGCCUCAUGCUUCUGGAUGAACCCAGACGAGAUUAGCUUGUUGGUAGAGUAAUAGCCUACCAAGGCAACGAUCUCUAGCUGGUCUGAGAGGAUAACCAGCCACACUGGAACUGAGACACGGUCCAGACUCCUACGGGAGGCAGCAGUGGGGAAUAUUGCACAAUGGGCGAAAGCCUGAUGCAGCUAUGCCGCGUGUAUGAAGAAGGCCUUAGGGUUGUAAAGUACUUUCAGCGGGGAGGAAAAAAAUAAAACUAAUAAUUUUAUUUCGUGACGUUACC
rnacentral:rRNA from 2 species